GUUGCAAGGUGGACAGAGGGAGGGAGUUGCGAUCUUCCCCUCUGCCAGUGCUGGAAAAGCCACCGAGAAAUCAAGUCAGUCAUCAGUAUCCAGGCUACACGUCAGGCUGUGCUGGAUGUGCCCAGAUUUGACGUGUAUUUCCUGAAACUUGUCACCUGUGGAAAGCUGCUUGAUCUCACAGGGAUGGCUGUGGCCCUCAGGAUGCUGACACACAACUGUUCCAAGAGGAACACUGUGCAUGCUGACACACAGGACCAUCCUCUCUUUGCUGCAUACCGGCCUCCUUGGGAGUGGGAGCCACAGACGAUGGAUCUUGCUGAUCAUGUCGCUUGACUCUCAAGCAGGCUGGUACCUGCCUGAACUCCCAGCAACCUCCCAGGGAUAAAAAGAUGUUUACAGCAGCAAGAUCGAGGAUGCGAAAGGUGGUCAAGCCUAAGGUGGAGGUCUCUGACCAUUUCCAAGCCAGUAUCGACUGAGAGGAUGGCAGAGUGUACAGUUGGACCUGCGUUUGAUCACAGCUAGGCCACUUGCUUCCAUGUGGCCCCUGGUUGAGUCACAACAUGUGCCCGUGGUUUGGUUUGCUCA
rnacentral:lncRNA from 1 species